rnacentral:rRNA from 1 species
CCUACGGGAGACAGCAGUGAGGAAUAUUGGUCAAUGGGCGCGAGCCUGAACCAGCCAAGUCGCGUGAGGGAAGACGGCCCUACGGGUUGUAAACCUCUUUUGCCGGGGAGCAACGGCCGCCACGUGUGGCGCCACUGAGAGUACCCGGAGACAAAGCAUCGGCUAACUCCGUGCCAGCAGCCGCGGUAAUACGGAGGAUGCGAGCGUUAUCCGGAUUUAUUGGGUUUACGGGAUGCGUAGGCGGAGCGUUAAGUCAGUGUUAAAAGUGAGGGGCUCAAGCCCUUACCGCCAUUGAAACUGGCGCUCUUGAGUGGAAGAGAAGUAUGCGGAAUGCGUGGUGUAGCGGUGAAAUGCAUAGAUAUCACGCAGAACCUCGAUUGCGAAGGCAGCAUGCCGGCUUCCGACUGACGCUGAAGCACGAAAGCGUGGGGAUCGAACAGGAUUAGAUACCCCUGUAGUC